AACAAACGCUGGCGGCGUGCCUAACACAUGCAAGUCGUACGAGAAAGGGUUCUUCGGAACCUGAGUAGAGUGGCGCACGGGUGAGUAACGCGUGGAUAAUCUGCCCUUCAGUUGGGAAUAACUCAUCGAAAGGUGGGCUAAUACCGAAUAACGCUGUGAGACUUUGGUCGAUCAGCCAAAGAGAGCCUCUGCUUGCAUGCCCUCGCUGAAGGAUGAGUCCGCGUACCAUUAGCUAGUUGGCAGGGUAAUGGCCUACCAAGGCGACGAUGGUUAGCUGGUCUGAGAGGAUGAUCAGCCACACUGGAACGGAGACACGGUCCAGACUCCUACGGGAGGCAGCAGUGAGGAAUCUUGCGCAAUGGGGGAAACCCUGACGCAGCAACGCCGCGUGAGUGAGGAAGGUCUUCGGAUCGUAAAGCUCUGUCAGAGGGGAGGAAUGGGCGGAGGGUAAUCUCUUCGUUUUGACCUAUCCUCAGAGGAAGUACGGGCUAAGUUCGUGCCAGCCGCCGCAGUAACAC
rnacentral:rRNA from 1 species